GCAUUAAUGGGGUAGUGGUAACCUGGGUCGUUGCCAUGAAUCGGAAUUUUCAACAUCGACCCGCCGGGGGUUCGAUUCCCUCUUAAUGCA